rnacentral:misc_RNA from 1 species
GAUGAAGAACGUAGCGAAAUGCGAUAAGUAAUGUGAAUUGCAGAAUUCAGUGGAUCAUCGAAUCUUUGAACGCACAUUGCGCCCCUUGGUAUUCCGAGGGGCAUGCCUGUUCGAGCGUCAUUUCAACCCUCAAGCUCUGCUCGGUCUUGGGCCUGGCCGUGAUGGCCGGUCUUAAAAUCAGUGGCGGUGCCGUCGCAGGCUCCAAGCGUAGUACAUCUCUCGCUCUGGAAACUUGGCGGUGCCUGCCAGACAACCCCUAAUUGUCUCUUUCGGUUGACCUCGGAUCAGGUAGGGAUACCCGCUGAACUUAAGCAUAUCAAUAAGCGGAGGA